GGUCAAGUUUCUAAGAGCAAACGGUGGAUGCCUUGGCAUCUGGAGCCGAUGAAGGACGUAGUAAUCUGCGAUAAGCCUCGGGGAGCUGAUAAACGAGCUUUGAUCCGAGGAUCUCCGAAUGGGGAAACCCCGCUGGGCGGCGUGCCGACCCAGUGACUCCCGCCUGAAUAUAUAGGGCGGGUAGAGGGAACGUGGGGAAGUGAAACAUCUCAGUACCCACAGGAAGAGAAAACAACAGUGAUUCCGUAAGUAGUGGCGAGCGAACGCGGAAGAGGCUAAACCGAUCGUGUGUGAUAGCCGGCAGGCGUUGCACGAUCGGGGUUGUGGGACAUCUCAGCUGCUCUGCCGAGCAGCAAGCGUUACAGACCGCGGUAGGCGAAGAGCUUGGAAAGGCUCAUCGAAGAGGGUGACAAUCCCGUAGCCGAAACCGCGCAAUGGCGCGAGGUCCAUCCCAAGUAGCACGGGGCCCGAGAAAUCCCGUGUGAAUCAGCCAGGACCACCUGGUAAGCCUAAAUACUCCCAGAUGACCGAUAGCGGACAAGUACCGUGAGGGAAAGGUGAAAAGUACCCCGGGAGGGGAGUGAAAUAGUACCUGAAACCGUUUGCUUACAAACCGUUGGAGCAGCCCUAGCAGCUGUGACAGCGUGCCUUUUGAAGAAUGAGCCUGCGAGUUAGCGAUAUGUGGCGAGGUUAACCCGUGUGGGGUAGCCGUAGCGAAAGCGAGUCUGAAUAGGGCGAUUCAGUCGCAUGUCCUAGACCCGAAGCGAAGUGAUCUAUCCAUGGCCAGGUUGAAGCGAGGGUAAGACCUCGUGGAGGACCGAACCCACUUAGGUUGAAAACUGAGGGGAUGAGCUGUGGAUAGGGGUGAAAGGCCAAUCAAACUUCGUGAUAGCUGGUUCUCUCCGAAAUGCAUUUAGGUGCAGCGUUGCGUGUUUCUUGCCGGAGGUAGAGCUACUGGAUGGCCGAUGGGCCCCAAAAGGU
rnacentral:rRNA from 1 species